rnacentral:rRNA from 1 species
GACGAACGCUGGCGGCGUGCCUAAUACAUGCAAGUCGAACGCAGUGGGGACGGGUGAGUAACACGUGGGUCACCUCCCAUCAGAGGGGAUAACACUUGGUAACAGGUGCUAAACCGAUACUGAUGGAUGGACCCGCGGUGCAUUAGCUAGUUGGUGAGGUAAUGGCUCACCAAGGCCACGAUGCAUAGCCGACCUGAGAGGGUGGUCGGCUAAACGGGGACUGAGAAACGGCCAUGCCGCCUACGGGAGGAAGCGUUAGGGAAGCUGCGGCAAUGGACGAAAGUCUGACAGAGUAACGCCGCGUGAGUGAAGAAGGUUUUCGGAGCGUAAAAUUGUGAUGUUAGAUAAGCGGUAUCUAACCAGAAAGCCACGGCUAACUACGUGCCAGCAGCCGCGGUAAUAC